CGAGCUGACCUCUAACAGUAUAAUAGUCCGUACUGGCCGGCCGGCGCACGGCGCACGGGCUGCGUUAACACAAUGGGCUAACCUGCCCUCCAAAGGGGGAUAACCCGCCGAAAGGCGGGCUAAUACCGUCUCUGACAUUCCGGUGGUCUUCGGCCGCCGGAAUCAAAGCCCGCAAGGACGAUUGAGACGAGGGGCCCGCGGCCGAUUAGCUUGUUGGCGAGGUAACGGCUCACCAAUGCUUUGAUCGGUAGCCAGUCUGAGAGGAUGGCCGGCCACUCUGGAACUGAGACAAGGUCCACACUCCUACGGGAGGCAGCAUUGGGGAAUCUUGCGCAAUGGGCGAAAGCCUGACGCAGCGACGCCGCUUGGGGGAUGAAGAUUCUCGGAGUGUAAACCCCUUUCGACCCGGACGAAACGCCCGCAAGGGCUUGACGGUACGGGUAUAAGAAGCCCCGGCUAACUACGUGCCAGCAGCCGCGGUAAGACGUAGGGGGCCAGCGUUGCUCGGAAUUACUGGGCGUAAAGGGUUCGUAGGCGGUGCGGUAAGUCGGAAGUGAAAUCUCUGGGCUUAACUCAUAGGCUGCUUUCGAAACUGCCGUGCUAGAGUGCGGGAGAGGCUAGUGGAAUUACAGGUGUAGCGGUGAAAUGUGUAGAUAUCUGUACGAACACCCGUGGCGUAAGCUGGCUCGCUGGACCGCAUCUGACACUGAGGAACGAAAAGCUUAUGGGAGCAAACAUGAUUAGAUACCCUGGUAGUCCUAGCCCUAGACCAUUCAGGACUUGCUGGUGGACCGCGUUGGCGGGUU
rnacentral:rRNA from 1 species